GCGGGGCGUCUCGGGUUCCCCGGAUCCGCGCGGGGCAUGAGCCUCUCCGCGGCCAGCGGCUUCCUUCGCGUCCGUGGCUCCCGCCGCCAUGUCCGUCACUGUCCAGCGGGAGUUUGACGAGCUGGAUGCUCGGAAUUGCUGGCAGCAGCUGUACCUGGAAAUUCGAAAUGAGUCCCAUGACUAUCCUCAUAGAGUGGCCAAGUUUCCAGAAAACAGGAAUCGAAACAGAUACAGAGAUGUGAGCCCAUAUGAUCACAGUCGUGUUAAACUGCAAAAUACUGAAAAUGAUUAUAUUAAUGCCAGUUUAGUUGACAUAGAAGAGGCACAGAGGAGUUACAUCUUAACACAGGGUCCGCUUCCUAAUACAUGUUGUCAUUUCUGGCUCAUGGUUUGGCAGCAAAAGACCAAAGCAGUUGUCAUGCUAAACCGCAUUGUAGAGAAGGAAUCGGUUAAAUGUGCACAGUACUGGCCAACAAAAGAUGACCAAGAGAUGCUGUUUAAAGAAACAGGAUUCAUUGUGAAGUUCUUAUCAGAAGAUGUGAAAUCGUACUAUACAGUGCAUCUACUACAAUUAGAAAAUAUCAGUAGUGGUGAAACCAGAACAAUAUCUCACUUUCAUUAUACCACCUGGCCAGAUUUUGGAGUCCCUGAAUCACCAGCUUCAUUUCUCAAUUUCUUAUUUAAAGUGAGAGAAUCUGGCUCCUUGAACCCUGAGCACGGGCCCGCUAUAGUUCACUGCAGUGCCGGCAUCGGGCGAUCUGGCACUUUUUCAUUAGUAGACACCUGUCUGAUUUUGAUGGAAAAAGGAAAUGAUAUUAACAUUAAACAAGUAUUACUGAACAUGAGAAAAUAUCGAAUGGGACUUAUUCAGACACCAGAUCAACUCAGAUUCUCAUAUAUGGCUAUAAUAGAAGGAGCAAAGUUUAUUAAGGGAGAUUCAAAUAUACAGAAACGGUGGAAAGAACUUUCUAAGGAAGACUUGUCUCCUGCUUUUGAUCAUUCACCAACCAAAAUAGUGACUGAAAGGUACAAUGGGAACAGAAUGAGCUUAGAAGAAGGAAAAGUUACAGGUGACAGGUGUACAGGACUGUCCUCUAAAAUGCAAGAUACUGUAGAGGAAAAGAGCGAGAGCGCUCUGCGGAAACGUAUUCGAGAGGACAGAAAAGCUAACACGGCUCAGAAGGUGCAACAGAUGAAGCAGAGGCUAAACGAGACUGAACGAAAAAGAAAAAGGUGGUUAUAUUGGCAACCUAUUCUCACUAAGACCGGGUUUGUGUCAGUCCUUUUGGUUGGCGCUUUUGUUGGCUGGACGCUGUUUCUUCAGCAAAAUGUCCUAUAAACAAUUAAUCCUGCUGAGCAAGCUUCUGCGUUAGUAGCUGACAGUGCUGCGAUCAUCACAGGGGUUUAUCUGGUGCAGUAGACUAGACGUCAGCCAGAUGAGCGAUAUGUACAGUCACAAGCCAGACAUCUCAGGACUCUCUACUGCAGGUUCCUCUGAAAGCCAAGCUGUAAACACCUCCAUGAUAUAAAGACACUGACAUUUGUUAGAAUUGGCAUGGCUUGCAUCUGUACUCACACAUGUCAGAUGUGGCGUGUCACCUGGCCAGGUUGAGAACAGCUUUACCACAGGGAUUUGUGUUUGGAGGCUAUCAGGAUUUUAACAUGCAUUUGAUACAAGCAAUAAAUAUUGUGGUUUUAUCUACGUUAUUAAUGGAAAGAAAAUGACCUUGAAAUAAUGUGUGUAAUGUGUACUGUACUCUUGACAUGGGCAUCAACAUUUUAUAUUCUUAGUCAUUUCAGGAUAAAUGUAUUUUAUAGCUACCUAUUUGAUCUUACUUUAGCAGUUAAUGUACUUUUUAAAAGCUCAAUUUGAAAAAUAUGUUACCAUAAUAUAAAAAAUUGUAUGUUGGCUUAAUUGUGCUAGAUAAAUUUUCCGCUUUCCUAAAGAGAAGUUUGAUAAAAGCAGUUAGAAAUCUCAAUAAGCAAUUUUUACCAUAUAUUUGCACUUCUUUUAUGUUCACAGUUUUCCCAAUUUUAAAAAGAAAAACAAAUUUUCCCUAAAAAUAUUUUUAAAGGGAAAUUCUUCUUACUGGAAUAGUCAGCAAACAGUUGGUCAAGACUUUGUAAAGAAAUUGGUUUCUGUAAAGCCCAUUGCUACUACUGUUUAUUUUCAUGAAAUUUCGAUGUAAUUACCCUAAUUUAUAAUUGAGAUAAUCAUGAUUUAGGAAAUAAAAAUAAGAAGCAGCGUUUUAUGAGCUAUGAUUUCAGUUUACUAGACUGAAGUUUUCAAGUAAAAUAUUUUUCAAGUUCUUUCUACUUCAAUAAAUAGUAUGAUGCUGUGCAAACCUUACACUGUCCCUUUAACUUCUUAUUGAAUAUUUUUUAAAGCAUGUUGUGUGACGAAUUUAUCCACUCAUUUGAGAGCUGGCCUUUUUCAUGUCCCAACCUUCCAUUCAGUGUUUUGUUUGACAUAAAUCUGAGUCAUUUUCACCUUAAUUGCUAGGAGGAAUGAAGAGUGUACGUUAUUUCAGUGGUUUUCAAACUGUGAUCGUUGGAUGUAGGGGCCAGUGGGAAAGACUCCAAGCUACCAGCCUUUACUUUAAACCACAGCAACUCUGCUUUAUCUGUUUAUAUGCCACAUAGGAUUGCUGCAUAGGGCUUAAUUAUUAAAAUAUAUAUAUAUAUUCCCUUUUUUUUUUUUAAGUCUAAAAACCAUUGAUAUAGAUAGAUUAUCUUGAAUUGAUUUUGGAUGUAUUAAAUUAUGCUGAAAAUAUUUAAAGCAGGAUAUAGGUUAGGUGGUACUCAUAAACCCAUUGCCAUCGAGUUGAUUCAAACUCAAUAGUGACCUGAUCGGACAGUCUUGAAGAGCUGCACCACCAGGGCUCCUAUGUAGGUGUUACUGUGUAUUAAAUUGUGCCCUUACUUAGUAUCACUGUGUCCUGUAACCUUUAAAUGAAGAGGAGUUAAGGGAGAAAACUUAUAUCUGUCUCUGUUGAAUCUGUGUUCAGGUGCCAAGACCUGAUGUUUUAGGUUAUUAUUGGUUUAAAAUCUUUCUUUCCAAUUUGCUUUGGUUUAUCUUUGCUGAAAUACAAUACAUUAUUCUUCAAGCCAGAUAUCAAUAGACCACAUUAAUUUCCAAUUGAAGAGAGCCUUGCUUUAAACAAACCUGUAAAGACUUACAGGAAACAAAUGCUGGUUUUGGUGUUCUUUGCCCUUUGCAAAGUGAGUGUGAUUUACCAGGUCAGGCAGUGGGCACCUGUUGGUGAUCUUCAGCAAGGGCCCAUCAUCUCUCCUCCCCCAAGGUGGUCCUCAAAGACAGUGUUGAACAGUGGAAGCUAUAAAUAGUGUGAAGUUUUUACCAGCAGUAGUAGUUUUGGUGUGUGCCAUGUCUUAGUUAUUAACAACAUAGGCGGCAUAUUUUUGUGCCUGCCGCCAUCACCCUGACCUCCAUUAAAUGGGGUCUGCCAGUCAGAGAACGGGACGCAGGCCCUGUACUGCCUUCUGGGUAACCCAAACCAAAAACCAAACCCACUGCCAUCGAGUCGAUUCCGACUCAUAGCAACCCUAGAGGACAGGGUAGGACUGCCCCAUAGAGUUUCCAGGGAGCACCUGGUGGAUUCAAACUGCCCACCUUUUGGUUAGCAGCCGUAGCACUUAACCACUAUCCCCCCAGGGUUUCCUUCUAGGUAACAUCCAGAGGAAAAGUAUUAAUCACCCUUCCUGGAUUCCGUGUCUUUCAAAAAAAAAAAACGCUGCAUCCUUGGGUCUUAAUAAUAUUUUCUAGUUCGACGGCAGUGGAGUGGGUUUUAGUUUUAACAGAUUUUAAAAUCUGUGGCGUAGUUUGAUUUUAAUGAGGUUUAGUAUUGCCUUUUGAAUAGAUUAUGUUAGAAAAAAAGAUAACAAACAAAGGCUAUUAUUUUCAUAGAAAGUUUCCUUAACUGGUUAAUUCCUCCCCCCCCUAAGAAGCUGAUAGCAACCUUUGGUUUAGCUCUGUCUUCUCUGGCUACAUCAGCUGAUUACAUAUUCCUUUCCAAGCUUAACCCAAAAACCAGAACCCAGUGCCAUCGAGUCAAUUCCGACUCAUAGCGACCCUAUAGGACAGAGUAGAACUGCCCCAUAGAGUUUCGACUCGACGGCACUGGGUUCCAAGCUUCGCCAAGUGUUAUUUGUGCCGGUUUACCACUGAUUCUUGUCCUUGCUUGCACACACACAGUAUAUAAAAAUAUAAUUCUCCAGAUUUAAUUUAUCCACUUAAUAAAUGAUAAUACUUUUUCCCACGUUCUUAAUAGGUUAAAACAUAACAUGUAAAAGUACACAGAGAACUUUAAAACAAAUAGAGAGACCAUUUUUUCAUGUUUAGAGGAGAUAUACACAUUUGCCAAGUUUUCUACCUCUCUGUCCUUUGCCAUUUCACUGGGUAUUGAUAUUUCUACCAAGGAAUGAACAAGAAAGGAGAAAAGAAGGAAAAGAAAACCAAGAACUUGCUAAUGAUCACAUUCUUUUUAAAUCGCUCUGUUUAGCAGGUGUGUCAAAGAAAGGGGCUGUUAACUCUUCAAUUUUACGUGCACCUGUGCUUGUCCCCUUUGUCUGAAAUAAGUCAGAAUUGAUGGUAUGAAUCAAAAAAACAUAUUUUUGUUGAAAAAGUAGUUAGUUUAUGCCAUGGGGCAGUCCUCCAGCUUUUAUAUCAGUUCCUCCUUUGCUUUCAGCAUCAGUGCAAAGUGAUGGUGGCUGCCAUCUCUUGAUCGUUUGCUAUGGGCCAGGCACUGUUCUAAGGCACUUUGCACGUAUUAUCCCAUUUAAUCCUCACAACACGCUUACAAGGUAGGUGAUGUUACAGUUACGCUAUAAUCAGCCUGAGAUUUAGCAUUUCUGCAUCCUUGUAUGGCGCUAUUGUUGACAAGUCUCGUGUGUAUAUAGUAGUAUUUUUAAGAAUUACAUCGUUCUCAAAAACUGCUGCAACUUAUUUCCCUCUUAGAAAACUGCCUCUUAUUAGAUUCUGUACAGAUAGACACAAAUCACAACCUGAUGGUACUGAAAUAUUUUUACUGACCAUUGUACAGUUUACAAGUACCUACACUUCCACAGCACCUGGUUAUUUUACAAAUUUUAAAAAUCUCGUCUUACCCUGACUUCUACCUGAACUUUCAAAAUACAAGUCUUAAGGAGAUUUAAAAAGAAGAAAAUGUAGCCUAAGGCUAAUGCCAUUGUGUAUGUAAUCCCUUUCUGUGUUCAGGCAGGAGUCUAGGAUUCAAGUGUUUUGUAGACAGGAGUUUUUUCUUCUAGCACAUCCACAUGGUUCUGUUGGUGGGGUAGAGAGUGUGUAGCUAGGACACAGGGGACCAUGAGAUUCUCAGAGAUCAGCCAGAUCAGGUAGGUUUCUGCAUAACAAUGGGGAGGGCAGUUGGCGGCUCCAAGGCCACUACUUCACUCCCCCUGCUUCGGGCAUGCACCCCCAGUUUGGAACUAAGUACAUAGCAGAAAUGCCUGUUCUUGAUUCUCGGUUACACAGGAGCAGCUAAUCAAGUCUCUUUUACUUUAAGCCAUAAUUGUAAGUAUUUGGUUUGAUUUCUUUAGAUACGGGGGCACCAAGAUGUUAGGAAUGAAAUUUUGAAAAUAGAAACAGCAUUUUUCCCCAUAAUAAGAUUGCUGUUGUUAGGUGCCAACUCGUAUUGACCCUGUGUACAACAGAACUAAAGGCUUCCGGAUCCUGCGCCAUCUCCAUGAUCAUUGUUAUGCUUAAGCCCAUUGUUAGUCACUGUGUCAGUCCAUGUCAUUGAGGGCCUUCCACACUUCUGAUGACACUCUACCAAGCAUGAUGUCUUUCUCCAGGGACCGGCCCCUCCUGAUAAAAUGUCCAGAGUGAGACGAAGCCUUGCCAUCCUCGCUUCUAGGGAGCAUUCUGGCUACUUCUUCCAAGACGGAUUUGUUCAUUCUUUUGGUUGUCCAUGGUAUAUUCAGUAUUCUUUGCUAACACUGCCAAGAUUGACAGACACCUAAGUAUUCAUGACUUGAGAAUAUUCUGCAGCUAUAAAUUUUGAACCAUUGACGUGCAGAGCAAGACCUGAAGCCGACUCCGGAAACGAAAGUGAGGCUUGAUAGACCUGUAGAUUGCCUCGCGGCUGUCUGUUUACAAAGUAAACUUUACAUCCAGGGAAUGAAGAGCACCCACCAGCAGAAGACUUUACAGAAUCCUUUAAUUUGAUGUAUUAAGUGUUUUUUAAUGCGUGUAUGAAAUGUAGAAAGAUGUAAAAGAAACAAAUUUAGGGGAGACUGCUUUGUAUUCUGCCAUUCCUACUGUAUUUUUAUACUUUUUGGCAGCAUUAAAUAUUUUUAUUAAAUAGA